CCUACGGGGUGCAGCAGUGGGGAAUAUUGGACAAUGGGCGAAAGCCUGAUCCAGCCAUGCCGCGUGUGUGAAGAAGGCCUUCGGGUUGUAAAGCACUUUCAGUGGGGAAGAAAGCCUUGGGGCUAAUACCCUCGAGGAAGGACAUCACCCACAGAAGAAGCACCGGCUAACUCCGUGCCAGCAGCCGCGGUAAUACGGAGGGUGCGAGCGUUAAUCGGAAUUACUGGGCGUAAAGCGCGCGUAGGCGGUCUGAUAAGCCGGUUGUGAAAGCCCCGGGCUCAACCUGGGAACGGCAUCCGGAACUGUCAGGCUAGAGUGCGGGAGAGGAAGGUAGAAUUCCCGGUGUAGCGGUGAAAUGCGUAGAGAUCGGGAGGAAUACCAGUGGCGAAGGCGGCCUUCUGGACUGACACUGACGCUGAGGUGCGAAAGCGUGGGUAGCAAACAGGAUUAGAUACCCGAGUAGUC
rnacentral:rRNA from 1 species